rnacentral:tRNA from 1 species
GCCCCUGUAGCUCAAUGGAUAGAGCGAUCCCGUCCUAAGGGAACGAUGGGGGUUCGAUUCCCUCCAGGGGCA